AACGAACGCUGGCGGCAUGCCUAACACAUGCAAGUCGAACGAGACCUUCGGGUCUAGUGUCGCACGGGUGCGUAACGCGUGGGAACCUGCCCUUAGGUUCGGAAUAACUCCCCGAAAGGGGUGCUAAUACCGGAUAAUGUCUUCGGACCAAAGAUUUAUCGCCUUUGGAUGUGCCCGCGUUGGAUUAGAUAGUUGGUAGGGUAAAAGCCUACCAAGGCGACGAUCCAUAGCUGGUCUGAGAGGAUGAUCAGCCACACUGGGACUGAGACACGGCCCAGACUCCUACGGGAGGAAGGAGUGGGGAAUGUUGGACAGUGGGCGAAAGCCUGAUCCAGCAAUGCCGCGUGAAUGAUGAAGGCCUUGGGGUUGAAAAGCUCUUUUACCCGGGAUGAUAAUGACAGUACCGGGAGAAUAAGCCCCGGCUAACUCCGUG
rnacentral:rRNA from 1 species